rnacentral:rRNA from 1 species
GACGAACGCUGGCGGCGUGCUUAACACAUGCAAGUCGAACGAUGAAGCCGGAGCUUGCUCUGGUGAAUUAGUGGCGAACGGGUGAGUAACACGUGAGUAACCUGCCCUUGACUCUGGGAUAACUGCGGGAAACUGUAGCUAAUACCGGAUACGACCCUCGGAGGCAUCUCCUGGGGGUGGAAAGAAUUUCGGUCAAGGAUGGACUCGCGGCCUAUCAGCUAGUUGGUGAGGCAAAGGCUCACCAAGGCGACGACGGGUAGCCGGCCUGAGAGGGUGACCGGCCACACGGGGACUGGGACACGGCCCAGACUCCUACGGGAGGCAGCAGUGGGGAAUAUUGCACAAUGGGCGCAAGCCUGAUGCAGCAACGCCGCGUGAGGGAUGACGGCCUUCGGUCUGUAAACCUCUUUUAGCAGGGAAGAAGCGAAAGUGACGGUACCUGCAGAAGAAGCACCGGCUAACUACGUGCCAGCAGCCGCCGUAA